AUUUCUCUCGCUUACUCUUAUGUAAAACGGGUUUUGUCGAUCUUUUAUCCAUCAAAUUUUCAUAAUAGCAGAAAAAUUGCGCAUCACUGGCAAAAAUAUACAAGAGAAUAUAGAUAUGUGAAUUAAACGAUAGAUAUUUAAGAUAAUCUACUUUUCCUGUACUGAGUUUCUCCGGAGAGUGAAACCCUUAAAAUUUUUAAUACUUCGCAAUGACUCUUGGUGAGUUGAAUGUCGAGAAGGCAGUAAUAAAUAAAGGGGAAAAUGUUACUCAACAAAGCAUUAUUACCCCCCUGAAUAAUGCAGUACCAGGGGAUAAAAUGAAUGGAAUUAAAAUGUAUGAGAAUCAGAAUGAUGCGACUAUAUCUUUUUUACGAGCUGCCCGCAGUGGAGACCUUGGUAAAUUACUUAGAUUUUUAGAGAGUGGGGAAAUAGCAGACAUAAAUUGCUGCAACGCGAACGGGUUAAAUGCUCUUCACCUAGCUGCAAAAGAUGGUUAUGUUGAUAUUUGCUGUGAGUUGUUAACAAAAGGUAUAAAUGUGGAUAAUGCAACCAAAAAAGGAAACACAGCAUUGCAUAUAGCAUCAUUAGCAGGACAGCUAGAAGUUAUUGAGCAACUUAUUUUAAACAAUGCGAAUGUAAAUGUACAAUCUUCCAAUGGGUUUACUCCUUUAUACAUGGCAGCACAAGAAAACCAUGAAAUUUGUUGUCGGGUAUUAUUGGCACAUGGUGCUAAUUCAGCACUGGCUACUGAAGAUGGGUUUACUCCAUUGGCUGUAGCAAUGCAACAGGGUCAUGAGAAAGUAGUGACUGUUCUUUUGGAGAAUGAUGCUCGCGGAAAGGUCCGUCUUCCAGCACUUCAUAUUGCGGCAAAAAAAAAUGAUGUAAAUGGAGCUACGUUAUUAUUAAAAAAUGAUCACAAUGCAGAUAUUGUUUCUAAAUCAGGAUUUACACCCCUACAUAUUGCUGCACACUAUGGAAAUGUGGAAGUUGCCAAAUUUUUAUUAGAUUGGAAUGCUGAUGUCAAUUUUGUGGCAAAACAUAAUAUUACUCCGUUACACGUAGCGAGUAAAUGGGGUAAAUCUUUAGUAUGCAACUUGUUACUAUCACGUGGUGCCUGCAUAGAUGCUGCAACACGUGACGGUCUGACGCCACUACACUGUGCAUCACGUUCUGGUCAUAUAGACGUUAUUCAGAUAUUGUUACAAAAAAAUGCACCCAUAUUAACAAAAACAAGGAAUGGUCUGACUGCGCUUCAUAUGGCAGCUCAAGGAGAGCAUGAUGAAGCAGCUCGAUUACUAUUGGACAAAGAGGCUCCAGUAGAUGAGGUGACCAUUGAUUAUUUAACAGCUCUUCAUGUGGCCGCCCAUUGCGGUCACGUCAAAGUAUCCAAGCUUUUGCUUGAUUAUGGGGCGAAUUCAAACUCCAGGGCUCUCAAUGGAUUCACUCCCCUCCAUAUUGCCUGCAAAAAGAAUCGCAUUAAAGUAGUUGAGCUACUUAUUAAACAAGGAGCUAAUAUAAGUGCUACGACAGAAUCGGGCUUAACUCCUUUACACGUGGCCAGUUUCAUGGGGUGCAUGAACAUUGUUAUAUUCUUGCUACAGCACAACGCCAACCCGGAUAUUCAAACAAUUCGCGGAGAAUCUUCAUUGCAUCUGGCAGCUAGAGCUAAUCAGACAGACAUAAUUCGAAUAUUACUUCGUAAUGGAGCAAAUGUGGAUAUUAUUGCUCGAGAAGGACAAACGCCAUUACAUGUAGCUUCUAGGUUGGGUAACAUUAAUAUAAUAAAAUUAUUGUUACAACAUGGAGCUUUAAUUAAUGCUGAAACUAAAGACAAGUACACCGCUCUGCAUAUUGCAUCCAAAGAAGACCGGGAAGAUGUGGCACACAUUCUUUUGGAAUGUGGUGCCGUUCUUGAUGCUGUGACUAUUAAAGGCUUCACUCCUCUUCAUUUAGCCAGUAAAUAUGGUCACCAAGACUUAGUAUCACUACUGAUCAAAAACGGUGCAUCCAUUGAUUGUCUGGGAAAAAACGAUGUCACCCCUUUACACGUAGCCACUCACUAUGGGCAUCAGUUGGUUGUAGACCAGCUCUUGGCAAAUGGAUCAUGUCCAAACAUAAGCGCCCGAAACGGACAUUCUGCUCUUCAUAUUGCUGCUAAAAGGAACCACUUAGAUAUAGCUCGACAUCUAUUGAACAAUAAAGCUGAUGUGGGGUCCAUUAGUAAAAGUGGCUAUACACCAUUGCAUUUGGCAGCACAAGAAGGACUUAUUGAUAUGGUUGAAUUACUUCUUCAAAAUGGUGGAAAAAAUACCCAUUCUAAAAACGGAUUGACUCCGUUACAUUUGUCUGCCCAAGGGGGUCAUACCCUUGUUUCCCAGAUUCUUUUGGAUAAUGGCGCUGAAAUUUCGGAGCGCACUAAAAAUGGCUAUACACCAUUGCACAUUGCAGCCCAUUACGGUCAUCUAAGCCUUGUAAAAUUCCUGAUUGAAAACGAUGCUGACAUUGAAAUCAGUACGAAUAUUGGGUAUACUCCUCUACAUCAAGCAGCUCAACAAGGGCAUAUAAUGAUAAUACAUCUUCUAUUGCGGCACAAAGCAAAUCCAAAUGCUUUAACACACGAUGGUAAAAGCGCAUUAAAUAUUGCAAGCCAUUUUGGUUUUGUAACAGCAGUGGAAACACUUAAGGUUGUCACUAGAAUGUCUUCUGUUGAUACAACUGCUGGCGUGUUAGAAGAAAAAUACAAGGUAAUGCUACCUGAGGUCAUGCACGAAACCUUACUUUCCGAUUCCGAAGAUGAAACUGGAGACGACGUUUUGGACGAUAAUAAUUACAAAUAUAUGGCAAACGAUCAUAUAAAAGCUAUAUAUAGCCAAGAUCACCAAAGCUUUGAUACUACAAUUCUUGAAAACGAACCGACUCAUCAGCAAUUUGAAAAAGAAAUCCUUACAAAGAACUCGCCGCCAAUACUUACAUCGCUCAUGGGACGAAAAAUAGAUAAUGGAGUAAUCCUACGGCCCCCGAUACAUUUAGGAUUUCUGGUAUCAUUUUUGGUAGAUGCGCGGGGUGGAUCCAUGCGCGGAUAUCGUCACAGCGGUGUGCGGGUAAUUGUACCUCCAAAGGCUUGUGCGGAACCGACGCGAAUAACAUGUCGUUACGUUAAACCUCAAAGAGUCGUAAAUCCCCCGCCUUUAAUGGAGGGUGAGGCAUUGGUUAGUCGAAUAUUGGAAUUAUCACCCGUCGAAGGAGUUUUUUUAAGUCCAAUAACAUUGGAGGUUCCUCAUUUUGGUAAUUUAAGAGAUAAUGAGCGUGAAAUUAUUAUUCUUCGAUCAGACAAUGGAGAGUGUUGGCGAGAGCAUAACGUAUUUGAGAGUGGCGAACACUUUAACACUGCUAAUAAUGAAACGAAUAAGGAAAUUACUCCAAUAGAUACAUUUAUUUCAACUCGCAUUGUCCGCAUAGUUACACAAAACGUUCCUCACUUUUUUGCCGUUGUUUCACGUAUCCGUCAAGAUGUCCACGCUAUUGGACCCGAUGGUGGAAAUAUUUCAUCUACAGCAAUACCGCAAGUUCAAGCUGUAUUUCCACCCCAUGCCUUGACAAAAAAAAUUCGAGUCGGUCUUCAGGCACAGCCAGUAGAUCUGGUUGGAUGCUCUAAGCUGCUUGGCCAAGGAGUGGCUGUAUCACCAGUUGUCACCGUAGAGCCCCGAAGACGAAAGUUUCAUAAGGCAAUAACACUUAGCAUUCCUGCCCCAAAAGCGUCUAUGAAGGGUAUGGUAAAUGAAUGUUAUGGCAAUGGGAAAGCUACUCCAUCUACGCUUAGGCUAUUAUGCUCGAUCACUGGAGGUCAAACACGAGCGUCAUGGGAAGAUGUUACUGGAUCGACACCCCUUUCCAUUUCUCAAGAUAGUAUUACUUUUACAACUACAGUGUCCGCCCGUUUUUGGUUAAUGGACUGUCGGAAUAUUGUGGACGUCGGACGUAUGGCUACAGAUCUAUAUACUCAUUUGGCAAGAGUACCUUUUUUUGUUAAAUUUGUAGUAUUUGCAAAACAAAUUUCUGACACGGAAGCAAAGAUUUCUGUUUUUUGUAUGACAGAUGAUAAAGAAGACAAAACAUUAGAACAAAAAGAAUAUUUUCGCGAAAUUGCAAAGAGCCGAGAUAUAGAAAUACUACAGGAUCAAAAAAUUUAUUUAGAGUUUUCUGGUAACUUAGUUCCAGUAUUAAAGUCGAACGAACAACUAAAUAUAAGAUUUCAAGCAUUUUGUGAAAACCGGCUUUCAUUUGUUGCACACAUAAAAGAUUCAGAGCAGCCACAUGGUCGCAUAAGUUUUAUGGGCGAGCCAAAGGUAUGUCCGGGAGAUGCGCCACUCAAUCCACUUUGUGCCUUAAAUAUCACAAUUGACAUGGAAAAUACGGAAAGCGUAUUGGAAAAAGAUAAGCUUUUGAGCUUAGACAGUUGUUUAACAGUGAAAAGAGGAUAUACAACCUGUACGGAAUUAAAAGAAAAUUCACCGCAUACAGUACAAACAAAAACCUUCGACCAAAAAUGUACAGUUUUGGGAUUUAAAAAAAUGACGAAUCAGUUUGAAAGGGAGAACUUGAUCAAAGAACCUUAUGUAAAAUUGCUUGAUUUUUGUAGACAAUUAGGUAGUGACUGGCCGCAGCUAGCAAAUGAGUUGGGUGUACCCGAAACCGAUGUCGACCUGGUCAAAGCUGAUUAUAGUAUUGACGAAGAUACAAACAAAAUUAUGACUAUACUUAAGUUAUGGUUACAACAAGCAGAAAGUUUCAACUUAAAAAAAUUACCUGAAAUUCUAAAAAAAAUUGGGCGUUCGGACAUAUUAAAAAAAUUCAAUUACAAUCUGGAUUUUUUUUCUAAAAUCUUACACAAUGAUGUUACUUCCUUUGGUUCUAAAGAGGGUGUAAACUUGGAAUAUAAUGAAGAUCAAAACGACGAUGAAUUUUAAUUCAUGGAUCAGAUAUUAUAAGCCAUUUUUGCCUUCCAAUUGGUAUGAUGUCCGAGGAAGCUCUUGAAGCCAGGAACAAGGACUUCCGAAAUGUAGGAGAGAGCAAUACAAGGAAAAAUUGCUGGAAAAAUACCAUGGAAGAUGUAUUAAAUGCCUUAUUAAUUUCUUCCGACCCCUUGAUAACGUCAUUGUCAAAUGGAAAGUUGCGAUGUUAUCUAGAAGAGGGAUGAAAUAAAUUUCCGAGGAUAUGAGACAAAAUAAUAAUAUCGACUACGCAAAUCUAGGAAGGGUACAUACCAGCCCAUGAUAGAAGAGAUUUACUAUUCAAUAGAAUGUGCAAAACAUCUGGGAACGUUUGAACGCAAUUAAUGGUUGACAACAAGGAAUUUUUUCGCAAUUGUAAUUUGAUUUAUUUAAAUUUAAUGUUUUAAUAAAAGUCUUUUUAACAUUUCUGUUUGGCGAAUGA